GAGAUAGCUCAGCUGGUAGAGCAUGAGACUCAGUCUCAGGGUCAUGGGUUUGAGCCCCAUGUUGGGCA